rnacentral:rRNA from 1 species
UGCCUAUACUGCAAGUCGAACGAGCUUCCGUUGAUUGAGGUGCUUGCACUGAUUUCAACACCGAAGCGAGUGGCGAACUGGUGAGUAACACGUGGGAAAUCUGCCCAGAAGCAGGGGAUAACACUUGGAAACAGGUGCUAAUACCGCAUAACAACAAGAACCGCAUGGUUCUUGUUUGAAAGGUGGCUUCGGCUAUCACUUCUGGAUGAUCCCGCGGCGUAUUAGUUAGUUGGUGAGGUAAAGGCCCACCAAGACAAUGAUACGUAGCCGACCUGAGAGGGUAAUCGGCCACAUUGGGACUGAGACACGGCCCAAACUCCUACGGGAGGCAGCAGUAGGGAAUCUUCCACAAUGGACGAAAGUCUGAUGGAGCAAUGCCGCGUGAGUGAAGAAGGGUUUCGGCUCGUAAAACUCUGUUGUUAAAGAAGAACACUUCUGAGAGUAACUGUUCAGAAGUUGACGGUAUUUAACCAGAAAGCCACGGCUAACUACGUGCCAGCAGCCGCGGUAAUACGUAGGUGGCAAGCGUUGUCCGGAUUUAUUGGGCGUAAAGCGAGCGCAGGCGGUUUUUUAAGUCUGAUGUGAAAGCCUUCGGCUUAACCGGAGAAGUGCAUCGGAAACUGGGAAACUUGAGUGCAGAAGAGGACAGUGGAACUCCAUGUGUAGCGGUGGAAUGCGUAGAUAUAUGGAAGAACACCAGUGGCGAAGGCGGCUGUCUAGUCUGUAACUGACGCUGAGGCUCGAAAGCAUGGGUAGCGAACAGGAUUAGAUACCCUGGUAGUCCAUGCCGUAAACGAUGAGUGCUAGGUGUUGGAGGGUUUCCGCCCUUCAGUGCCGCAGCUAACGCAUUAAGCACUCCGCCUGGGGAGUACGACCGCAGGGUUGAAACUCAAAGGAAUUGACGGGGGCCCGCACAAGCGGUGGAGCAUGUGGUUUAAUUCGAAGCUACGCGAAGAACUUACCAGGUCUUGACAUACUAUGCAAUCUUA